GGAAGGGUCGCAUAGAGGCCUAGUGCGGAGGUCUUGAAAACCUCUAGGGAUGCAAGUCCCUCGCGAGUUCGAAUCUCGCCCCUUCCG
rnacentral:tRNA from 1 species